UAUUUUUUGUCAUAGGCGUCACAUGAAUGCCUCCGUAUAAGAAACUAGCAAGAAUGCCAGUAACUCCAAAAUUUUAUAGUCGCCUAGUAUAAUAAUACUUACCAUACCAACUGUAAUGUUAAAUCGAGUUGAUAAUUGUAUAAAAAACUGAUGGUUUAAUAGCAACAUUUAACAUAUAAAAUGAAUGGUUUAUAUGUUUCGCGUUUGCGGUGAUAAGAAGUUCUAAUUUAAAAAAAGUAUACAGUUCAACAUCCAACAGGCAAUAUCUCGGUAUUCCGCAAUCUAUAGAAGGUUCUUGUUCAAACAGUGCUACUGAGACAUCAUGUCAACACAUUUAUUGGUUUUGAGAGGUUGAUAUACCGCCUCCUCUUCAACUUUAUGAAAAAUAAAUCCAAAAGGAGCAAAGCACCGUCAUGUAAACAAACGGCUUGUUUCAUUUUAUUUCAAGAUGGCAAGCUAAUUGAACCGAAACUUAGUGGUACGAAAGGCGAGUGCGCACCUAUUAACCACACGACGUUCCCUUAAUUCCGACCUCUCCAGCUGCUAACGACACUUGAUCGCUUUUUAAGACCCAUUCAGAUUAAAUAUAACGCACUUUGCCGCAAGGCCCCAAUCAAAAACGCCCUUCUCACACACUAUUUAUUAAAAAGAAUUUGUACAAAAUAAAUAUUGUCACAUCAAAUAAUUAAAAUCAAAACCCGACAUAAACAUCACGUUUUACGCCCGCUAUAAAAAUUAACUACGCUAAUUCGUGGCCGAGUUGGCACCGAGUGUCUUCAUCAGCUUAUAGCAUUCCUGCAGUUUCUUUUUAUCGCCGAUUCGUUCCAUAGUUUUCGCUGCUUCGACCAACAUUCCGGCCCUUUCUCCAGGCGAUGACAUCAAUUGACCGGGCAAAUGUUUGCAAGCCAUAUACAAAGCCGUCGCGUGUUGGCGCUCUCCUCCAACAUCCUGUUGGUUUUUAUCGCCUUUGCCGCAAAUCAUCGACGAACGAGCGUGACGCUGUCGCAAACUGCGAUCGAGGAGCUGCUGAGUGCGGCCUGGGGCUGCACCCGCCAUCAAGCGGGCGGUAGCUUCGUACAGAAAGACCCGAGGCAACGCGCUCUUUAAAUAAACCGAAUCAAAAAAACCUGAAAGGGCGAUUUUAGACAAACUUACGGGAAUAUUUUGGGCUAGGGUUCGCAAUGAAGAUAAAUCUUUUUGGAACGCCGUUAGGACAUUGUUAGGGACUGGGAUCGGCGUUGUUGAUGCCUCAACUGAGUCCUCCCAAAGGGACGUUCUGGUUUCAAGGAUCCAGUCGCACACCAGCAGUUGACACAAC